GACACCUCAAUACACAAGAUGUCCGCCAGAAAAUUACGAGCGAAAAGCUUAAAACUCAAAGGACUUGGCGGUGCCCCACACCCGACUUAGAGGAGCCUGUCCUAUAAUCGAUACUCCACGCUAAACCUCACCAUUCAUUGCCCAGACAGCCUAUAUACCGCCGUCGCCAACUUACCCUCUGAAGGUAAAACAGUAAGUACAAUAGUCUAUUAACUAAAACGUCAGGUCAAGGUGUAGCUUAUAGAAUGGAAGAGAUGGGCUACAUUUUUUAUAACAAAACAUACGGCAUGGAACUGUGAAACCAGUUCUUAAAGGAGGAUUUAAUAGUAAAACUAAUAAAAAAAUUAAUUU
rnacentral:rRNA from 1 species